AAUCAUCGAAACUUCGAACGCAUCUUGCGCUCCCGGGAUAUGCCUGGGAGCAUGCUUGUCGGGGAGGAGGAGGCGAAAACUCGCCCACAGCUUUGGGUUCGAUCUCGACCUCAAGGCGGUGGAGCGGAAUAUGAGUGUUCCGGGGAGCGGUAGUGCGGUGUGUAUUUUUGUACAUGCCUCCUGCUCGUCCCCUGAGUCCACCCAAGCCUAGAGAGCUACCGAUUGUCCGGGCCUCAUUGCCUUUGCGGCGCUGUAGACAGGUCCACCUUGCGUCCUCCGGAAGAUCCGCUGUUGAUACCUUCGCAACCUCGCCCCCUCUCGCGGGGCGGGGCAGGGCGAAGGAGACACUGACGCCGGGGAUGUGCGCGGGUUACCUUGAGGCGUCGCAGGAGGCAAGUUCACCUUGCGUCCUCCGGAGGAUCCGUUGUUGACGGCGCCCCCUAUCGCGGGGCGGGGACACAACGGGUCGCCGGGGAUGUGCGCGGGUGUCCUUGAGGCUUGGGACGGUAGGUAGUCUCGAGAGUACCGGUGAGAGGCCGGUGAUUAUGAUUAUGCCAUACCCCCGAUCAAGCAAGAAGACCCGCUGAAUUUAAGCAUAUACUAAGCGGAGGA
rnacentral:misc_RNA from 1 species